CAUGUCCCCAAGGGUAUUGUAUAUGUGACUGCUGUGUCAUGGGUGCAUCAGUGGAUAGCAGAGAGGAAAGAGGCUAUGUUUAUGCUCAAUGUUUUGACCUGUGAACAUCUGAAUGAUUUGUAACCUAAUACU